CAAAACGACGUGCCUCUCAAAAUCCAGACUAAAUCCAUCAUAAGUGCAGUGCAAAUAGUGCCAUGUGAUCUACUAGAGUAGAAUGAAAAUCGUUUGACUUAACAUGACGAUCUCCUUUAUGAAUGUGCCGGAAUAGCGCAAGCGAACAUGCAAUAAGUAAAUAAAAAUGUGCAAAUUCAUAACGAGUGAUUUCGAAAAAAUGUAUUGCUCCGUAUUGUGUGGAUACAAUGUGAGCUCGCGUGGGCGGGAUGGGCAUCAUCCGUUGGAUUAAAAUCCAUGACAUCAACACGUGGUUCUAAAGAUCGUCGAAAAAUAAACUUUAUUGCUGAGUUUUAUUACCCUAUUCGGAAAUCUUUUAU